CGCACGCCUCUCUUUUUCUUCUUCCUUUUCUUUUUCUCUCUUCCUUCUCCUUUCUCCUUCCUCUACGUCGCACAGCCCUUCGUCACCAUGAAACCCAGCCGACGCCCUCUCCAUUUCUUUCUUUCUUCCUUCUCACUUCUCCCUUUCCCUUCCUUUCUUUCCCUUUUCCUUCCUCCAUUUCUCCCCUGUCACUCGCACCGUGACACACUGAGAGACAGAGAUCAAGUGAGAGUUCGUGAGGGAGAUGGAGAGGCUGUGAUGCAGAGAACCGUGAGUGUGGAAGCGGAUCCUUGGCCGUGGGAGUUACGAUUUUGGAGCUGGGUGGUCGGGCCACCGUUGUGGCGUGGAGGCAGCAUCUAAGGCAGUGAGUUUCGGCCCUGUUCCGGGUCGUGUCAUAAUUGGAGACGUCAAUGGGUUCUUCAAUGUUGAGUUCGAAUUAUGAGUCCAAUGCAGCCAGGUUCAAUGGAUCUAAUGAAUGAUGUCGUAGCAUAGUACUUGGAAUGUUACGACUAAAGCCCGACGUGACAGUUAUAAUGGUUGGACCAUGUGUUGUCCGCCUUUUGGUAGACUUUGUUUAUGGCUCGUGUCGCCUGUGACACUUGUAUUUAUGAGCCAGUCUUUUAGUAUGUAUUUAAUAGCUAUGUAGAAGCUUUAAACAGAUAGACAUAUUAAUGGCUCUUUUGUUGUAAUUAACUGUUGUUUAUAGAUGUACCUUCCGCUA